rnacentral:rRNA from 1 species
AUGGCUACUAAGUUUUUAAAACCUCAUUUUCCGGGCAAACAAGAUGCAACAAGAAUGGAGGUGGAGUAUACUAGUACCAAUCUUCAAGAAGGGGGUGUUCAAAGUUGUAGUAAUUACCGUGGAAUUAAGCUGAUGAGCCAUACAAUAAAGCUAUGGAAGAGGGUCAUUGAACACCGCUUAAGAAGAAUGACCGGCGUGACCAAAAAUCGGUUUGGUUUCAUGCCUCGAAGGUCGACAAUGGAAGCCAUUUUCUUGGUACGACAACUUAUGGAGAGAUACAGAGACCAAAAGGACCUGCAUAUGAUGUUCAUUGACUUGGAGAAGGCCUACAAUAAGAUGUCGCGGAAUGUCAUAUGGUGGGCCUUGGAGAAACACAAAGUCUCAACAAAGUACAUUACCCUCAUCAAGGACAUGUAA